AGAGUUUGAUCCUGGCUCAGGAUGAACGCUGGCGGUAUGCGUAACACAUGCAAGUCGAACGAAGUUUUUCGGAACUUAGUGGCGGACGGGUGAGUAACGCGUGAGAAUCUGCCUUAAGGAUUGGGACAACAGUGGGAAACCGCUGCUAAUACCAAAUAUGCCUUUUAGUGAAACGGGUAAAACCGCCUUAAGAUGAGCUCGCGUCUGAUUAGCUAGUAGGUGUGGUAAGAGCGCACCUAGGCGACGAUCAGUAGCUGGUCUGAGAGGACGACCAGCCACACUGGGACUGAGACACGGCCCAGACUCCUACGGGAGGCAGCAGUGAGGAAUUUUCCGCAAUGGGCGAAAGCCUGACGGAGCAAUACCGCGUGAGGGAGGAAGGUUCUUGGAUUGUAAACCUCUUUUCUCAGAGAAGAAUAAUGACGGUAUCUGAGGAAUAAGCAUCGGCUAACUCCGUGCCAGCAGCCGCGGUAAUACGGAGGAUGCAAGCGUUAUCCGGAAUGAUUGGGCGUAAAGGGUCUGUAGGUGGUUGUUCAAGUCUGCUGUUAAAGCGUCUGGCUUAACCAGGUAAAGGCGGUGGAAACUGAACAACUAGAGUGCGGUAGGGGUAGAGGGAAUUCCCAGUGUAGCGGUGAAAUGCGUAGAUCUUGGGAAGAACACCUGUGGCGAAAGCGCUCUACUGGACCGCGACUGACACUGAUGGACGAAAGCUAGGGGAGCGAAUGGGAUUAGAUACCCCAGUAGUCCUAGCCGUAAACGAUGGAUACUAGGCGUUGCCCGUAUCGACCCGGGCAGUGUCGUAGCUAACGCGUUAAGUAUCCCGCCUGGGA
rnacentral:rRNA from 1 species